UACGAAGGGGGCUAGCGUUGCUCGGAAUUGCUGGGCGUAAAGGGCGCGUAGGCGGACGACUCAGUCAGAGGUGAAAGCCCAGGGCUCAACCCUGGAAUUGCCUUUGAUACUGGUCAUCUUGAGUACGGGAGAGGUGUGUGGAACUCCGAGUGUAGAGGUGAAAUUCGUAGAUAUUCGGAAGAACACCAGUGGCGAAGGCGACACACUGGCCCGUUACUGACGCUGAGGCGCGAAAGCGUGGGGAGCAAACAGG
rnacentral:rRNA from 1 species